GGUGGAAUAAAUCACAAAAGUAUUUUUUCAGUUAUUUAUUAGUGAUCAAACUCCGCCUUUACACAAGGAAGUGUUGAAUGGAUCAAGUUUUAAAAGAGUAAGUAUUAAACUGUGUGACUAGUUUGCAAGUGCACCAAGUAAGUUAUAGUACAAUCAAAUGAGGGUUAUCGAUUCCAUGGGAAAGAAGUAAGUAUAUUGGUAGCUAGUUUUUAGGGGUUUUGGAUAGAAAAUGAAUAUGGAUAAAUACAUAGAUUGAGUGGGAUGGAAGCUAGAUUUAGUUUAUAUAUCUAGGUGCAAAUAUGAUAGAUUCAAUGAAUGCAAUGACAUUCAAAUACUUCAAUUCAGAUACGCAAAAUGAAUUGUUCCAAGAUAAAGUUCUAAAUAACUUUAUGUAGAUUCCUCUUGUAGCAAGAUUCGUUAGCAACCUUGUGGAGGUUCAAUCUCAAAGACUUGCUCCAUGGUUGCAAACAUUUGUUUAACUUAACCAAAUAUAUCCACAAAUAUGAAGAUAAUC
rnacentral:lncRNA from 1 species